GGGGUGGAGCAGCUUGGUAGCUCGUCGGGCUCAUAACCCGAAGGUCGUCGGUUCAAAUCCGGCCCCCGCAACCA
rnacentral:tRNA from 3 species